AGGAGAAGAUGGAGUGCAAGAAAGCAAAUCCUGCCUUCGGCACCAAUGUGUCUAGUAAUUUCCUGAGCAAACGGACUAAAAGAAAUCACAAAAAAUUUGAGGAAGGUAAAUGGAUUUUUCAUCUGGUCUAUUCAUUUCCCCUAUAUGAAAGGCCCUCUUUUAAAAGACUGCCAGUUGCCUUUAAAUAACAAAUUUUAAAUUCACUGCAUCUCCUAGAGGUACUCCCACUGAAACUGUAAUGGGUUUCUUAAUGAUCAAUGAAUCAUCAAGUAUCAGCAAUAACUGAGAGGCCUGCCAAAUACACAAACACAGCAUCUAUGCAUCAUGUGGAGUUGCCCACUGAAAAUAUAUACUUGCUGAGAUGCUCUGACUCUGAUUUGAAUAAAUAGCAACAACCAGAAACAUAAGAAAUUCUCAAGAAUGAAAUGUCAUAUUCUUUAUAGUAAAUAAAACUGGCUUGGAAUUUUGUUUUUUAUUGAUGAUAGGGUGUGUGAGGAUGGGGGGGGGGUGUGGGGAGGAGGGGGAAAGAGAGGAUAGCAUGUUUUCCCUUAGCUUAGUCAGUCAGUCUACGAUCUGGUAGAACUCUAGUCUCUAGGUCACCUUCCCCACAGAAGCCUAAGUUGCAUAGUCAUUGAAUCUACUUCCUGUGCCAGGGAAGAAAGAAAAAGAGAAUGAUCUUCCUAUCUGAGAGCCACAGAAUCACACAUCAUUUCCAAGGCAGGCUUCAUUUGGUCCCAUGUCAAGAGCCACCAACAAUGACUAUCUGAAGAGAUGGGAUACUUUUGGACAACAGGAACCAAGUCAUCUGCAAGUGGGAGCCAAGUUGCCACAAGGCAACUCCAUUCAUAUGCUAUACAGGAUGAAAGAUUUUCUUUUCACCUUCUUCCAUACCCAAACCAAGUAAAAGCCCACAAUUCUAUAGCA